rnacentral:rRNA from 1 species
UACGUAGGGUGCAAGCGUUGUCCGGAAUUAUUGGGCGUAAAGAGCUCGUAGGCGGCUUGUCGCGUCGACUGUGAAAUCCCGCGGCUCAACUGCGGGUCUGCAGUCGAUACGGGCAGGCUAGAGUUCGGUAGGGGAGACUGGAAUUCCUGGUGUAGCGGUGGAAUGCGCAGAUAUCAGGAGGAACACCGAUGGCGAAGGCAGGUCACUGGGCCGCAACUGACGCUGAGGAGCGAAAGCGUGGGGAGCGAACAGG